UCUCAUUCCAAAACCCUUAUCCCAAAAUCCAUCCCCGUCACCGGCUUCCCCCAAAUCCAUCCCCGUCAACGCCGACCGACUUCCCCAAACUCCGGCUCCCCGUCACCGCCGACCGACUUCCUCCAUCAAGCCAUCAAGCCACUGACUCCUCCCCCAACUCCGACUCCCUGUCACUGCCGACCGACUUCCUCCAUCAAGCCAUCAAACCACCGACAUGGAGUGAUUUUCGUAAUCCUCAGCGAAAACAUGGAGUCCCUGCGACUUACUUUUGUGUGUGUUGGGUUUUGGGUAGUGUCACUAGCAUUUUAUUUCUUCCGAUUUGUUUCCUUUCACCUGUUAUCGCGACAAAUCCUAAUAUUUUUGGUUGUUCAUCCUUUUAGAGGCUAUUCAUCCUUUUAUGUGCUUCUCAUUGUUGAGUUUUUAUGUUGGGUUCUAUUUGCAUUUCACAUAUGAACAUUAAAAUGAUAUUAUUUUGAUGUUUCUUUGACAAGAGAGUCUAAAUUUGUUACCUUUUAUAUGAUAAUCAGGUUGUGUUGGAGUUGCAAGAUGACGGGAAAUUGGCUACCUCAGAUUAUCCUCCUGUAGUGCUCGGUUGCACCGAUGCUAGAAAUGGUGAGUAACUACCACUGUGUUUCAUUUAUGAAACAGCCCAGAAGUAUAGAAGUAAAUGUCACACGUUACACGUAACAAGAUUCUUAAUGGCGGAGAAAAUGAUGAAAACUUGUUCGAGUAUAUCUGUUCUCCUAAGACCGCCACUAUCAAUUUCACAGGUGUAUCUAAUACCCUUUAUGCACUAAUUUUGAACAAUUCCCUGGUAACUCUAGGAUUUCCUUCCUACUAUUAAAUCUAUAAUUUGCACUCGUACAAUCUCCUUAAGUAUCACAAGCGCGCGCACAGAGCUGCAGUUAAAGCUUUGGAGAGCAGACACAGCCUUGGCGUUGUCAUCAGAAGGAUAGAAGAAGCCAUGUCCUCCCAUAGCUGACAGCAUAAAUUUCAAGUUAUUUCAAAAGGAUGAAGGGAGUUGGAGCAAUAGCUGCAAAUUGUCUUGGUUCAGGCCUGAUCCAAAUAAGAUGUAAACCCAAGUCGGUAAAAUUGACAGUGAUCGAAUUGGGUUUAUCAGGUCGUCCUAUAUCUUAUGCGGUUACUGUGAUAAUCGUGCAGGAAUUUGACAACAUGUUGACAUUCUUUUUCCGUUCAUGCCAAUAAAUAAGGCAUCAACUCUGCUUGGUACAAGAGUUUUCAGGUUCGAACGGAGCAUGAAAGCAAAGGCCUCUUGUUUUGCCAAGGAAAAUAUGUUUUCUCGAGUCCUAGUGUAGACAAUAGCGAGAAAAAUGAGACUAUAUAGAAUGAUGUACAGGGUUCACAAGUCAAAGUUGAGUAGAAACUCCGAUGACGGGUUUCAUGUUGCUGUAUAUACUUUCACAAUUCAAGUACUUAUGUAUUCACUUUGUAUAUGCUUAAUAGAAUCAUCUGAUAAGACUUAGCUAUUCUUUUUUCA